rnacentral:tRNA from 1 species
GCGGCGGUAGUUGAGUGGUAGAGCCCCUUCUUCGCAUGCGGGGAGACCUGGGUUCGAUUCCCGGCUGCCUCC